UUAAACGUCCGUACCACAUUGAGUCCUCAAUCCACCGGUUCUCGUCCGAUCACCAAAGCUAAGCAACGUCGAGCGCGGUCAGUACUUGGAUGGGUGACCGCCUGGGAACAUCGCGUGUUUCAA
rnacentral:rRNA from 1 species